UACGAAGGGGGCUAGCGUUGCUCGGAAUCACUGGGCGUAAAGGGUGCGUAGGCGGGUCUUUAAGUCAGGGGUGAGAUCCUGGAGCUCAACUCCAGAACUGCCUUUGAUACUGAGGAUCUUGAGUUCGGGAGAGGUGAGUGGAACUGCGAGUGUAGAGGUGAAAUGCGGAGAUAUACGCAAGAACACCAGUGGCGAAGGCGGCUCACUGGCCCGAUACUGACGCUGAGGCACGAAAGCGUGGGGAGCAAACAGG
rnacentral:rRNA from 1 species